AUUGAACGCUGGCGGCAUGCUUUACACAUGCAAGUCGAACGGUAACAGGCCGCAAGGUGCUGACGAGUGGCGCACGGGUGAGUAAUGCAUCGGAACGUGCCCAGUCGUGGGGGAUAACUACUCGAAAGAGUAGCUAAUACCGCAUACGAUCUAUGGAUGAAAGCGGGGGACCGUAAGGCCUCGCGCGAUUGGAGCGGCCGAUGUCAGAUUAGGUAGUUGGUGGGGUAAAGGCUCACCAAGCCAACGAUCUGUAGCUGGUCUGAGAGGACGACCAGCCACACUGGGACUGAGACACGGCCCAGACUCCUACGGGAGGCAGCAGUGGGGAAUUUUGGACAAUGGGCGCAAGCCUGAUCCAGCAAUGCCGCGUGCAGGAAGAAGGCCUUCGGGUUGUAAACUGCUUUUGUACGGAACGAAACGGCUCUGGUUAAUACCCGGGGCUAAUGACGGCACCGUAAGAAUAAGCACCGGCUAACUACGUG
rnacentral:rRNA from 1 species